rnacentral:rRNA from 1 species
GACAGAGGGUGCAAACGUUGUUCGGAAUUACUGGGCGUAAAGCGCGUGUAGGCGGCCCUGCAAGUCGGAUGUGAAAUCCCACGGCUCAACCGUGGAAGUGCAUUCGAAACUGCAGGGCUAGAGUCCUGGAGAGGAAGGUGGAAUGCUUGGUGUAGAGGUGAAAUUCGUAGAUAUUGGGAAGAACACCGGUGGCGAAGGCGGCGACCUGGUCCGAUACUGACGCUGAGGCGCGAAAGCGUGGGGAGCAAACAGG